rnacentral:rRNA from 1 species
AUGCCCCUGGACUUCACCAGGCACUUUGUCGCGGUGCCGAUGGAGUUCAAGCUCAGGAACAACACCGGCUGCUCCUGGAAGGUGACGGUCAAGCUGAUGAACGGCAGGGUGACCCUGGAUGAGGGUUGGGUCACCUGCGCAGUCGUUCAUCAGAUCAAGAUCGGCUACAUGGUGACGUUCAAGCUCCUCACUCCCGACACCCUCAAGGUCAUCAUAUUCAACGAUGAUGGCAUUGAGGUCGUCAACAAGUGCGGGAAGCACGACGAAGCCUUCGCCGCCAAGGAGUAG